AACGAACGCUGGCGGCAUGCCUAACACAUGCAAGUCGAACGAGACCUUCGGGUCUAGUGGCGCACGGGUGCGUAACGCGUGGGAAUCUGCCCUUGGGUUCGGAAUAACAGUUAGAAAUGACUGCUAAUACCGGAUAAUGUCUUCGGACCAAAGAUUUAUCGCCCAGGGAUGAGCCCGCGUAGGAUUAGCUAGUUGGUGAGGUAAAGGCUCACCAAGGCGACGAUCCUUUGCUGGUCUGAGAGGAUGAUCAGCCACACUGGGACUGAGACACGGCCCAGACUCCUACGGGAGGCAGCAGUGGGGAAUAUUGGACAAUGGCGAAAGCCUGAUCCAGCAAUGCCGCGUGAGUGAUGAAGGCCUUAGGGUUGUAAAGCUCUUUUACCCGGGAUGAUAAUGACAGUACCGGGAGAAUAAGCCCCGGCUAACUCCGUGCCAGCAGCCGCGGUAAU
rnacentral:rRNA from 1 species